rnacentral:lncRNA from 1 species
UUCUGAACUACAAUCUUGCUUUCUCCCAUUGAGCAGCAGCAAAAUGUCUUUUAUCAUUUGAGGCAUUAAAUAACUCCAGGGAAAGAGAGCUCCAUGGAAAGAACACCACCCUGCCCUCCUACUAUUCACUACGUCUGCCUGAUAUCUGCAGUUUCAAGGAAAGCUGUUCAAGUUUGGAGAAUUUGUUUGUGCAGCAGUACUAUGUAUCUUCAUAAAGCCAGCAAUGUAGCUGCAACUCAAGGCUCAUUUUUCUUCCUUACUUUGAAAUAUCUAGUUAGAAAGGAAAUCACUCAGGAAGGAGUGCAACAAAGAGAUUAAUUAUAGCAAAGCACUUACAGUGCAAUGGCCUGGACAUUUGGGAUUGCAGAGAAUAAGUGGGCCACUGAAAUGCCAGCAAGUGUAUGAACAGUUCCACCAGGUGCAAGGAGAUUAGGCAGCCUUUAUCCACACUACCAAAGUAUCAGAACAUUUCUUUUAGAUCUACUAUGCAGGCACGAGAGCCAAAGAAUCUGAAUUAUGCUGUCCUCCAGACUCUUCUAUUAUGCUUUUUUCAGCAUUUUGCACAAAUGAGAUGGAUCAGAGUUCACACUUGUGACAAGCUCUGCUGAAACUGCAGAAACAAAGGUACUUGCUAGAAUCUAAUUCCCCAAAUAAUAAGUAGCAGUCCCUAUCUCUGAGGGCAUGUACCAUAACAGAUGCUAGCACAUCAUCAUGCAAGCAACUAGACACUGUCAGCAGCUGUUGAGAUAAUACAGUGUUUGAUUUUAUUUCUCUGAUAGCAAUUUGGUUGCCUGAAGUAGCUCAUUUUUGCCAAAGGUAGACCAUAGUGUUCAAAUGGGAGAAGCUGAUCAUUAAUGGUAAUUUGCUUUGAUCUUUAUGAGUGUGGAAUUAGAGUGGGAAGUGUGUGCACUUUAAUUGCCUUUUAGCAUCACCAAGGCAGACUAAUAUUGACUAAUAUUGAUUAAGUGGGAUGAAAUCCUCUUCUGUUUUUUUUUUCCUCCCAAGGAGAAAGCAAAUUGGUUCAUUCAUUAGAUAACACACAGAAAAGAGGCCUGUUCCCAGACCACCUACUGCUCUGACAUAGAUAGCUCCACCUCAUUUAAAAUUCUUGUUUAUUUUUGUCUCCUCUAGGUGAAGCUGCUUCCCAAAAGAAAAACACAGAUGUGUAGGUUUUUAGAACUCUUCUUGCAUUUAUAAAACAAGCAGGUGACAUUGGGCUGUUCAUCACAACUGAUUGUUCAGUGCAAUUAUGUAGACUAUAUAAUGCCUUUCUCAUGGUAGAAGAAUGGCACAGGGUCAUUUGCAAUGUUUGCUCUGUGGACUCAGGGAAAAGAAGUUACUAGCUUGCUAAUUAUCAGAUGCUGCUUCAGGCUCAUUGGCUUGAAAUUAAGCAUUGUUAAAGUCAAUUUAAACAAACUUUCAAACUACACUGUUUUAUUUUUCUGUUCCUAAGUGGCAAGCUCUUGAAAGCCUCCAAAGUCUUCAUCUUUAGUACUCUGAAAUUCAGCCCUCUUAAGCAAAAGAUUAUUCUGUGAGUAAGUCCAGUUUUUUGAUCAUGUUGACUUAUUGAUGAUUGUGACAUGGGAGGCCAAAAGAGGUAGAAGGGAUCUAAUGAUUUCCAAAUAAUAUUUAUGCAGCUUCCUAACUCAUCAGUGAAUGGCUCAGCCAAAAACUGCCUGAUAUAUACAGCAGCAACAUGUAUACAUCAGCAUUUCCAAGAGAAGAUUGUACAGCAGUUCCACAAUGACUUUUCUGAUGCAGUCAUACUAACACUAUUAGGAACAAAAAAAAUAGGAGUGUGACCCGAGGCUCAACUCAGAAAUUUCACCUUACAGAACAAAAUGGAAUUUUUAUAAUCUGGUAGCCUUAGUGCAGUAUCUCCUACAGUUCUGAAAACUUCAUCACUAGACAAAUAUUCAUAGUGGGAAGAUCGUGUUUUAAAGUA